UUAAAAAAGAAAUUCUUUCUAUUGUUGUUUGUGUUUCAAAAUUUAUGACUUAUUGAAUCAAGAAUUUUUAAGAGAUUACAAAUCUGCUAAAAAUAUUCUUUUAGAAGAUGUUAAAAUAUUGCUCUAAUUGUCCUCCGCCGACUUCUCCACCUUCGGUCCUCGGUCUUUAUUCUAUGAUGGUUUUCUGUUCUCUUUCCACCUGGCUUAACAUCCUAGAAGCUUCACAAGAUUUCGAUGCUGAAGUUUAGCGAUACAGAUAACUUCAUUCUUGAAUUCAUCAAGUCCUUGCAUGGAAGUUUUGGACAACCUUUUCACAGCAACAUCUUGUCCAUCUUCCAAAGUUCCCUAAGAUCAGAAUUUGGUCAUUUGAGAAGACUUCGUCCCAUAUACUAUAGACCGGGAUAUUUGAACAUUGAUACAGAUAUAUGCAUGGAUGAUGCUCAGUGUGCAGAAGUGUCCAUCACCUUUCAAAAAUUUCUUACUAAAUUUUGAAGAAGAUCACUUUUUCC